rnacentral:rRNA from 1 species
UACGGGGGGAGCAAGCGUUGUUCGGAAUUACUGGGCGUAAAGGGCGCGUAGGCGGCCUACUAAGUCAGACGUGAAAUCCCCCGGCUUAACCUGGGAACUGCGUCUGAUACUGGAAGGCUUGAGGAUGGGAGAGGGAUGUAGAAUUCCAGGUGUAGCGGUGAAAUGCGUAGAUAUCUGGAGGAAUACCGGUGGCGAAGGCGGCAUCCUGGACCAUUACUGACGCUGAGGCGCGAAAGCUAGGGGAGCAAACGGGG